GCAAUUGCAUGGGCGCGAGGGCUUGCCUAUAUUGGGCGUGCCGGCAACGGCUAUGGCGAUAAAUGGCCAUCGCAAUAAACCCAUCGGACCCGGGGGCAGUACCCGGCGCCUCCACCACUCUCCCCGUUCCUGGACGGGCGCGCGGGGGCGAAACAGGAUCGACGAGGGCGUAAAGGGUGUGUUUUCGCUCGGCAUGGUACCGCCGAUAUCGGACCAUUUUUAUAGUUGCCAAUGACAACUAUGCUGAGGCCCGUCUGGCUGCGUAAGCGGUCCGACACCUCGAAUUGAAGCCCUUCUGCUGUAGCAGGUAGAAGGCGGGGUUCGCAGGCACCUGGCAACAGAAGCCUGCACU
rnacentral:tmRNA from 1 species